GAUGAACGCUGGCGGCGUGCCUAAUACAUGCAAAUCGAGCGAACGGACGAGAAGCUUGCUUCUCUGAUGUUAGCGGCGGACGGGUGAGUAACACGUGGAUAACCUACCUAUAAGACUGGGAUAACUUCGGGAAACCGGAGCUAAUACCGGAUAAUAUUUUGAACCGCAUGGUUCAAAAGUGAAAGACGGUCUUGCUGUCACUUAUAGAUGGAUCCGCGCUGCAUUAGCUAGUUGGUAAGGUAACGGCUUACCAAGGCAACGAUGCAUAGCCGACCUGAGAGGGUGAUCGGCCACCCUGGAACUGGGACCCGGUCCAGCCUCCGACGGGAGGCAGCAGUAGGGAAUCUUCCGCAAUGGGCGAAAGCCUGACGGAGCAACGCCGCGUGAGUGAUGAAGGUCUUCGGAUCGUAAAACUCUGUUAUUAGGGAAGAACAUAUGUGUAAGUAACUGUGCACAUCUUGACGGUACCUAAUCAGAAAGCCACGGCUAACUACGU
rnacentral:rRNA from 1 species